ensembl:lncRNA
CUCAGGGAGCUGACUGAUGUGGGGCUUUCAAAGCAGACUCAACUUAUCUACAGGAAAAACCUGAAAAGAUUCCUCACCUACCAGACCAUCAACACCAACCUGAGGCAUGAUGACAAGGACCUGCAUACAGACUGUAGGGAGUUCAUAGACUACCUCGGACUGCUGCAGAAGAGCUGCAGUGAGAAGGUCAGCGAGGAGAUUACCCAAAAAAGGCACGAGAGGUUGACAGCAGAUGGAGAACUGACAACGCAUGACUGCACAGCUGUGCUCAGGGCCACGUGUGUGCGGCCACGACUCCGGUCCUGCAUCAGGAAGCGGAAGAGGGAAGAUCUGGAUGGGACUGAAGAGAGAUUCUUCAUCUCAUCUGCGAGUGGAAGAAUACACAAUCCCUCCAAUGACCUCCGACGGCUGCACAUAAGGUAUGGCGUCAGACCAUGGGUGACCAGCCAGAGAGCACGCCGGGCCUUCGAGACAGCCACCAAGAGUCUGACUGACACAGAAGUAUCUGGUGGCUGACUACGUAACACAUUCGACUGCUACAGCGGAGAAACAUUACCGCGUGAAGCAGGCGGACAACGCAGUGAGGGCUAGUCAGCUCCUGGAUUCGCUGGCUGGUCAGUCAAC